rnacentral:rRNA from 1 species
UACGGAGGGUGCAAGCGUUAUCCGGAAUCACUGGGUUUAAAGGGCGCGUAGGCGGCCUUCUAAGUCGAACGUGAAAUCCCCGGGCUCAACCCGGGAACUGCGUCCGAUACUGGAAGGCUUGAAUUCGGGAGAGGGAUGCGGAAUUCCAGGUGUAGCGGUGAAAUGCUUAGAUAUGACAUAGAACACCAAUUGCGAAGGCAGCUCGCUACACAUAUAUUGACUCUGAGGCACGAAAGCGUGGGGAUCAAACAGG